UUCAAAAGUAUGUUAUCCAUAGUAACGCCUCAGCCAAAAGAAUGAUGAAGAAAAGUUUAUCAAAAGGACAAAUCAGAACUAGUGCAGCAGAACUACACCAACAUGCUGCAACCUGAGCAGCGAUAUUUUAAGUGGCUGGUGCCAGAUAAUUGUUUUGUAAAAAUGUCAGAUCUACUGGAAUUUUCCCACACAACUAACUCAGAUUUACAGAGGGCUGUUUGAAAACAUCCAGUCAUGUUAACAACGAUACCUUGUUGAUGUCAGAGGUCAUACGAGCAAAGGCACGCUGGUUGAGGAUGACGGAUGAACACUGAGCGAGUGAAACCCUAAAGAUGGGCUACAGGAGCAGAAGGCAACACAACAUGCAACUAAAAAUAGGGGGAAAAAAUCUGUGAUUGAACAACAAAAGAGUCUCUCAUCAGUCAGAUGGUCAGAAUUUUAAACAAAAACAAAAACAUUGAUUCCCCCCGCCGUGCAACAACACCCCGGCGUACACAUCUUCUGAUGGCUACUUUCAGUAGGAUGAAGUCAACACAAUGAGUUCACAGAUGUCAAGCAUGAGGACCUUCGAGCAAAGAUUGAUAAAAUGGCUCUGCAUCUGAACACAUGUUAACUACGGAGGUCAGCUGGAUGCUGUGGGUCUCUCUGCUCUGUUAAAAAGAAGAAUCAGCUUAUUAAAAAGUGAACUCAAGAAGAGGCAUUCAUGCUCCACCCCCCACUGCACACCAACAUUUCACUAAACUAAUUAGCAACUUGGGCCAGAAGUCGUUGUCAAUGAGGGGAAACAACAUAUUUCACCCCGUCAGCUUCUACCAGUGGCCUCGGCUGACCUUUUGAUACUCCAUUAGAGUGUACACCCAAAGGUGUCAAAGUGAGACGUUUUCCAGCCUCCCUGUGACAACAUCUGCAGCCGCUUGUUUUCGACUGUGGAACGCACCGCUCAGACGGCUUUCAUCUUGCCAAUUUUAUGAUCACACCUUAGCGCUGAUGAGUACAAUCAUUUGACAUGCAAAUGGCAAUUACUAUAGAUUCACUUCAGCCGACACUCGACGGCACUCGCUUUUCAUCCUCCUAGU